UACGGAGGGUGCAAGCGUUAUCCGGAUUCACUGGGUUUAAAGGGUGCGUAGGCGGGUUGGUAAGUCCGUGGUGAAAUCUCCAAGCUUAACUUGGAAACUGCCGUGGAUACUAUCAAUCUUGAAUAUCGUGGAGGUAAGCGGAAUAUGUCAUGUAGCGGUGAAAUGCUUAGAUAUGACAUAGAACACCAAUUGCGUAGGCAGCUUACUAAACGAUCAUUGACGCUGAGGCACGAAAGCGUGGGGAGCAAACAGG
rnacentral:rRNA from 1 species